UACGUAGGGUGCAAGCGUUGUCCGGAAUUAUUGGGCGCAAAGAGCUCGUAGGCGGUUUGUCGCGUCUGCUGUGAAAAUCCAGGGCUUAACCCUGGACCUGCAGUGGGUACGGGCAGACUAGAGUGCGGUAGGGGAGAUCGGAAUUCCUGGUGUAGCGGUGAAAUGCGCAGAUAUCAGGAGGAACACCGGUGGCGAAGGCGGAUCUCUGGGCCGUAACUGACGCUGAGGCGCGAAAGCUAGGGGAGCAAACGGG
rnacentral:rRNA from 1 species